CAUCCUUUCAUUUUAAGUGCAUUCACUUCAGCAGUCGGUUUGGAUUGUGGAGAUUCCUGGCAGAUUCCUGAGGGAAAGGCGCUAAUGGGUUUGGUGAGGUAGAUGGAAUGUGGGUUUCCAGAGCCCUACUGCAGUUUUGUCUCUUGAUGGUGGCUUCUUGUUUGUCAAAGCAAAUAUUCAUCUAACGCCUUCAUGCUCAUACCUCAAGUCACUGAGUGUGCAGUUCUCUAGAGAAGAACACUCUCAUUUUGUUACUGUAAAUCGUAUUUACUACUGAAAAUUUUAUGGCUAAUUUUUUCUUUUUUUAAAACUGGAAACAUGUAUUUAAGUUCCAUUACAGGGUGCCUGUUACUCAGGUAUAUUUUCUUACAAGCCUUUUUCCUCUCAGUGGGGAGACACCCAUAGCUGUAAUCGUGGCUGUGCUCAUGCUUAAAUUACUUCUUCACAGUCUCUGCUGUUUUGAAGACCAGUGUGGUUGCUUUGCCUGCAUGUAAUUCCACAUGAUAUUGUCAGCGAGGUCAUACAGCUUUGCAGAUUUCCUAGAGCUGAUGUGCAUUAGCUACAGCUCAUUAUCCAGAGUAAACAGCUCGUUAGCGUUCAGUGGAGAGCUUCUAAAGAAGACAAAAAUACAGCCAGAAGUGGCUGAGUGUAUCCCCUUACUCGGCUUUAGCUGUGAUGCUGCGAGUGUCGCCUGCCUGUUCAUUCCUCCAGCUCUCCUUUUGGGAAGAUGCACUUGCUCUCCAGACUCCUUUCACAGAGGUCAUUACCUGUAAAUGGCUCUUGCUGACUGCACGGCGAUGGUUUCCCGAUCCCCACCUGCUCCUGUGGGGCUGUAACAAGUGAGUGAUGGGCUGCUGGCAGCAGUGAACUUCACUCUCCUUCAGCGGUUUCAGUCUUAAUUUAAUUUCCUCAGGCAGCACAUUAUGCCUGCAGCAAAGAGACUCUAGCACUAUUAACUCUGGCUGUUUCUCCUCCAGCUCUAGUGAGAGAUGCUGCCUUCCCUACACUGCAGCAAGCAGGUGGGUGCCUUGUUCCCCAGGAACACAGGAGGGAACCUGUUUUCCACGGCCACUUGGCCCCUCUAUCUGCACACAGCUGGCAGGAGGGUCAAUACCAGGAUUGCUCAGCCCUGCAUGCUUUGUAGGGCAGUGUGUUCCCUUCUUUUCUCUGCCCAGGGGGCUCAUGCAAGGUCAGAGGGCAAAACACCUGAGUUGCUCCAACCCAACAACUCAAGACCCACCUGGCAGAGAAGAUGAUUCAAGGUUUGGGGUUUUUUUUGAGGCCUUUUGUACAAGAGGUUCUAUAAGAUCGGAUCCUUAAAUUUGAUGUUGCCCUGAGCGUAAGUUUUGAGUGUGAGAGCCACACUCCUGACAAAGGAAAGGGACAAUGGAACUUGGCAUUUAUAAGGAAAGCUGUUAUAAGCAAAGUGAGGUGUCUUAAAUGUACAUUGACAAAUGAGGACUAAAAUACAAUGAUUUAUUGCCAAGCCUAUUUGGCAGCCCCUUUCCAGUUUAGGCUUGCUGGUUAUCAGAUACUUGUACAUAUGAGCAUAAGAUGAAAGAACAUAUGAUUUGCUUUGACAGUUCUUAGCUGUUCGCAGGAUUUCUCUGCUUUUUUUGUUGAAGGGACAGUUCUGUGCACGGGCUCCUCUAGGAGCUGCUGCAAACAUCCCUGUGGAGUGGUUUCAAGAAGAGCAGUGACUGUUCCCAUCUCACAGCAACGCCCCACUGUCUUCCUGGGGCACAUAUUGAGACACGGCAGCAGCAGCAGCUCAGCUUUUCCCUUCGCAGGGGCUGAUUUGUUUCCAGCUGGUGGCCCUGUUCCCUGGGGCUCCGUUAUCAGCAAUCUCUGCAAUUAACUGGUUCCCUGGCAGCCCCUUCUGCCCCUGGAGUUCUGCAACAGUGCACUGGCUCUGCUCAAGUUUCGAGCACUCUGUGAUUCACUCCUCUAGAGAAACACAAUCACCUCAGGAUUUUGUGAUCCAGACAAGUGCAAACACCUCGAGAAGAUCACGCACCAAGCGCUCGGGAGUGACGCUCCCCAAAGCCAUCUCAGCAGCGUUCCCACUUCCUGCUGCCAGCACGGCUCGUCUGAGACAUCGGUGCCAUAGCGAGUGCUGGGUAAACACCAGGAUUGUUUCUGCUGGAUGAUCUCAAAGCCCUCCCAACUGUCUGCUGAAAAUACUUGCCCACUGCGAGGAAAUGACUGUUUGUUUGUGUUAGGAGUCAGGAAUGGGAAAUGACGUGAACACUUAACUGUUUUUCCUGGUGUUUCUAAGAGGUAUAUUCAGUAUAUUCGUAUUUCCAAAGGCAUUCAGUGUUUUCUGAAAUUCUAGUACGUAAGUACUGGAGGUAUGUGCACGCACAUAAAUAUACAAAAAAUCAGGAAAUAUCUUCCAAAUCUUCUGUAUCCACCUGGUCAAAUUUUACUGGUGCCCUGCUAUGACUAUGCUGUAACAUAAUUUGAUAUGUUCUUCCUCAGUGCUGAACUGAAACAGUUCAGGUCAUUUUCCCAAAUGGGAUAAAUCUGUGGUUCUGCAGCGUGCUGCAACCUCCCUGGUUUCCCCUGAAGGAGAAAGAAGUCAGAAUUCACACUUGUCAUCCUUAUUUCACCCUAGCACCAGUUUUAUCUGCAUCUGCUGAGUUACUCUGUGCAUUUAAUCUUUUUUUUUUUUUUUUUUUUUUUUCUGUGUAUUGCUCCUCUGUUGCCUUGACAAAGUAGUCCAAUGUUUUCAGUUUUUUUUGGUUGAUGAUAACUUUUUGUUCCUGAUUUCUUUGGUCAAGGUGUUUUUCUAAACCAAUCAUUUCUCUUCACAUUCCUUGAAAAUGACUGCUGGCAUCUGCUGUGUCCCAUGAUCACCCUUCUCCAUGCACGUGCUGUCCUGCAGGACUGAGGCAGCUGCAGGUGUCAGACCUGGUUACAGUCACUCAGUGACUCUUGAGUUCCUACAGGCUCAGAUGAUGUCACUGUCACAGCCUUUCACUGCAGAAAGCUCAGCUAAAGCCUACAGAUCUCACCAUGGAUAAAGACAUUUCUGAGACUAUUUUAUCUCCUGCCACUCCAUACUGAUGGAACUUGGCUACUUUAUGAAGAUGGUGAAGGCAGAAGCACGACCAAGAAGAACCAAGCUGCAACACUGCCUUCCAUUAGACCAGCAAUUUAUCCCUUCAAGAGGAACUACAGCUCAGCUAUUUAUUAAGGUUUCAGGUGACAUGCAAAACUGCAGUUUCUUUGUUUACUGCUUUUCUGAGAGCUCCUGCUCCAGAGGAACAGUGGAUGCACUCUCCAAGGUAUGCCAUGCCAACACAGGGCAGCAAAGGGUCUUGAUUGAUCAAGACAGCAUGAAAAGAAGAGCCACGGUUUGGGUUCUUGUACACUGUCAUCCUCAAGUGAUAAAGACAGCAGUC